rnacentral:rRNA from 1 species
UGGGGAAUAUUGCACAAUGGGCGAAAGCCUGAUGCAGCCAUGCCGCGUGUAUGAAGAAGGCCUUCGGGUUGUAAAGUACUUUCAGUCGUGAGGAAGGGUGUGUAGUUAAUAGCUGCANAUCUUGACGUUAGCGACAGAAGAAGCACCGGCUAACUCCGUG